rnacentral:rRNA from 1 species
AUGGCAACGGCUGGCGGCGCAGGCGGCGACUGCGGCGGGUCUGCUGGUGUUGGAGACGAUGGUCCAUCGAUGGGAGAUAUAUGCGGGAGCUCAAACCCUAGCUGGCCGUUGGAUACGAGCAGCCCCAGCCACAACCCCCAGUACUGUCUCGAAUUUGCGGCGGCAAGAUCUUGGGCCAGGGCAGUGAAGGAGAAUCCGACGGAGAGCCACCGGAUUGCCUCGUCAUUCGGCGGCAUCUAUUUUAACGAUGAUGUUUGGGAAGUUAGAAUGCACUUCCAUGACAGAAACAACUUGGAGAGAUCAGUUUGCAUUUCAGACAUAACAUAUUAUAAUUUGGUUGCCCUAAUAGAGAUAGAGGGAUAUGGGCUUAAUGAUUUCAUGUAUUUUGUGAGGGAUCCUGGUGUGGGGAUUACAGGAAUGGAUGAAAUUUGUGAUUAUGAUAAGGUGGAUGAAAUGCUUGACCAUAUUGCUAACAAUGAUCAGCAUGUAGUGAACUUGACAGUGGUUAGGGGCACUGAUCCAAGACCUAUAGAUUUGAACACAGGCUAUCUGGUUGAGGAGCAGGUUCCUUUGAGCCAUAUAGGAGAGAACCCUGUGUAUGUAGUAAAUCCUUCUGGUGUUCUCUUAAGAUCACCACCAAAAAGUAUAAUACAGAGUCAGCCAGAGCCAUUGCAGUUCUACACUACACAGCAUAGCACAAACCAUGAUGUGGAUACAAAUGCUGCCAUGGACCAAUGCAAUGCAGCAGAUCAGGAUGAACUGGAGACAUUAAUGGAGUUGAAGAGGACAACAAAGAUUGCCAAAUUUAGGAAACAUAAGAUUGCAGCUAAGCAUGUAAAUAAGGUUAAGCAGAAGCUACCAAUUCUUCUAACUGAAGAUGAUUUAGAUCUGGAUGCAGAUGAGGACUAUCUUCAGAGGCUUAAUGAGAUGAGGAAGCAAAGAGAGAAUCCACUCAUUCAUUUUGAUGGAGACACUGAUGUGGAUGAAGUGUAUGAGGAAGAUGAGGAAGGGCAACAUGUGGAGGUGGAGAAAGAGGAGAAGGUGGAGCAAGAUGAGCAGGUGGAGCAGCAAGAGGUGCCUACAAAGAAGAAGAAAGCUAGAAAAGGGCCAACAGAGAGGAAUAUGAUGAUGGAGCUGAGGAAGUACAAUUUAUUCUGCCCAAUGGAAGGAAGAGCAGACCAGUUAGAUCUUUGCCAAGGAUCUGGUACAUUUAGGAGAGCAAUUCAGACAUUGCACAUAACUCAGAAUAGGAAUUAUGAGUUCCACAGAAACUGCAAUGACAACAUCAUAAUUGUGUGCACAAAUGCAAAAUGCCCUUUCUUUAUUGCAGCUUCUGUUGUUGCAAAUGAGACUACUUUUUGCAUAAGGAAGGCAAAUUUUGUGCACACAUGCCCAGCAGUAGGAGAGAACACCAAGGUCACUGCAAAAUGGGUUGCACACCAGUGUGAGGCAAUGAUGAGAGUUGAUAUUGGCACACCAGUCACCAUAAUAAUGCAGACACUGAAGAAGAAAUAUGGAAUA